CCUAGCUUAUAAUGAGAACCUCUCACAACCGUUAGAUUAUGACGAAACAGACGGCUGAGAUCAUUUCAUGCAUUAAUGAUGCGCGUUAACUUCUCUCUCUUGAUUGAGCUGACAACUUCUCUCUCUUCAACUAACACACUCCCUCACCCACUCACGUUAAUUUCUCUCUCCUCACUUGAAUUCACACACCCUCAUCUCUCUCCUCAACAAAUUUUCUUCAAAAUCACUUGCAAAAACGGAAAUUACAUCGUAAUUUCGCGAAGAUUGCUGAGAUUUAGAGAAUUUGCAGCUUGAAAAUUGCAUUUUCUGGUGCCGAAGCUUUGAUUUUUCUGGCGAAUGAACUACUGAGGAAAAAUGUCGAAAAAUGAGACAAAUCCAAAACAAGGUAAUGUAGCCUAAUUUUUGUUUACUUUUGAUAAUAUUAAGUUUACCAUUAAAGUAAUGCUUUGUUUACUUUUGAAAACUGAGAUGAUCUAAUUUUUCUAGUUUUAUGUUUUCUGCUGUUAUGCUUCUUUGCUGAGAAAAUUGCUUCUAUGGAGCUAUAAGCUAUCACUUAUUUUUUUAUGGUACAUUAUUACUUUUUAUAUACCUUAAUUGAUGAUAUUGCCGAGAAUAAUUGAUUCUAGAUUUUGGGUUUAAUAUUUUUAGCCAUGAAUAGUUGGUUGAACACUAGAGGAAAAAUCCUUAUAAGUUGCUCAACAAAAGUUACCCUUAUCAAACAAGUGCAACCUUUAAGGAAAAAAAAUUAAAAAAAAAAAAAUUAAUUAAAAUCUGAAAAUAUGCCACCCAUACAAGCGCAGCCUUAACCUAAGAACUAAAAAAAAAAACAAUGCUCUCUCCUCCCUGUCACAGCUCCUGCAAAACGUCCUCCUUCUCAGGUGACCGGCGAAGCCACCGGCGAAACCACACUCACACACUCGCACCCUCUCUCCUCCUUCUCAGGCGACAACAGAGGUGUUCUUCCCCACUCAAUUCGAAGAAAACAAUUGCUGAAGGCCGCCGAAUUUGCACUACCAAAGCUUGCGAAAAUCCUACUUGCGAUGAAAUUGGUGAUUGCUGCAAAUUUCUCAAUCUUCCUUACCAUAAAGAGGUUCGAUUUUAUUUGUAAUUUUGAUCGUCGUCUUCAAUUUUGCUUUUUAAUUUCGUCUGAAUUUUAUUGGAUUCAUUUUGUUAAUUUCGUUUGAAUAUUUUUCUGUUUUCUGCGAAUAUUUUGUGAUUAUGUGCGCCAAGCUAUAUAGAUUUCUCAUGAUUAUUUUUGGUUAUGUAAUGAACAAUAAUUUGAGGAUUGAUGCAACUGAACUAGGGAUAUUUUAAAUAAAAGAUGAAAAUAUCGAUAGAAUCAACUGGUCACAAUUCAACUUGGAAAUAAUUGAUUACCUGUUUGGCGGUGUUACAUUGAGAAAAUUGUCUAAAUGUUUGUCUUGUUCACUGUAUAGGCAUAUAUAUAGCUUUGAAAGGAUGCAAUUUUCUUUUUCUUAUACGGUAACACCUUAUCAUCAUUGUUUGCUGUGUGCAAAUUGGUAAUUUAUGGAAUUGGAAAACUUAGAAUUUAUGCUCAUUGUUCAGCACACUCCAGACAGUCUUUAACCCCGACGUUUCAUGUAUGAAAGGAACCAUCAGUAUGUAUGUCCGUGGUACAUUAUGGUGUGUACUCGUGUUAUUAGCUACAUUUGAACCAUCAUUUGUAUGUCCGUGGUACAGUCUUUAACCCCGGCGUUUCUUAUUCUCUUGCCUGGUUUUGGUGUUUUCAAUUAAUGGUUGGUUUAAGUUAGUAUUGAAUACUAAGCAUUGGCAGGGUCGUGUAUAGAUACUAUCAUUAAAGGCUCAUGUAUAGAGACUAUCAUUAAAGUGGUCAAUUUGCUAGGCAUUUCAGGAAUCUUGUUCUCUGUUUUUGUUAUUAUUAGCAUGUAGUAGACUAGCAGUUCCUUACUCCGUAAUAUUCACAGCAUUUGUAUUUAAGUAGCUUCCUUAUUAUAUUUGCUUGUUUUCUUCAUAAUCUUAUUAGUUUUCCCGUGUUUGCUUGUAGUUAUUAAGUUGUCUCGGUUGUUAUGUUAGUCUUUAAUGGUUAGUUCUAUAUGUUUUAUUCUCUCUUAGUUUCACAUGAGUAUUUCUUUUUAUGUUUAGCUUAGUUACUCUUUAUUUAAAUUUCUUUUCCAAUGGUAUGACUUUUAUUUUAGUGGUUGGUUCAUGCAUAGGCUUAAUUAUGCCUCUUUAAAUUAGUGUAAUUGUUUUCUUAGGAUUUGUUAGUAGUUCAUACCUGUUGCCGUCAGUAGGUCGGUCUUUCAUUUGCUACUUCAUAUCUAUAAUAAUUGCUAGUAUUAAAUCGCUUCUUAGAGUUGGUAAAUUUAUCAUGUUUAGUCUGUAUCUUCUAUUUUAUGGGCCUUUGAGUUAGCUUUAUGACACUUAGUGGAAUCAGAGCAAUCACAACCUUAUAAUUUUGCUUUAACAGUAGAUCAGAAAGGUUGUUUUUAUUGUGUAAUGUGUUAGGUUUACUGACAGUGUGUUAUAUUGUUUGGGGAAUCUUAUAAGUAACGAUGAUAAACAAGUAUGACGCUAGAUGUUCAUUUAAGAAAUUUAUUGUCGGGAGUUUAUAAUUAGCCUAGCUCAUACCUGAUUUUGAUUGUCAUGUUCGUACUUGCAUACCUCAAUAUAAUUAUUGCAUGUUCGUAGCUCUUGUGGGUUUUAUGGUUAUAUUACUGAAGGGAAACUAACUAUUACAUUCGGGAACUCGAGAGAAAGCAUCCAACCUAAUUGUUCACUACUCAUUGCUUAAAACCAGCAAAAUUCUUAUGUUCUUUGGUUAAAAUAGCUUCUGCAUAGUCAUGUCCUAUAAUUUGUAAAUUGCUAGCUGUUAGUUCAUAAUAAUCUCUUGGUGUGGCUGCUGGGAUUUUCAGAGUUUAUAAUUUUAGACUUUAGAACUUUAACUAGUUUUCUGUAGCUUAGAUUGAAGGAGUUCUAGUUUUAGGUGACUGAUAUUAUAGUGGCUAAUAGUAUACAUAUAUUGAUUAUGGUGUUUUGUGAAGGAUUUGUUUCUUAAUAUAUUAAUCUUUGCCCACUAUAUUCUUCCUCCUGCAGUAAGAUAAUUAAAAAGCUUUACUACUACUUUUUGGCCUACUUUUUUUUAUUUUUUUAUUUAUUUGUUCAAAUGUAAAUAAAAACUCUAAAGCUGAUCUAUAUGGGUUUGAUUGUUAAGGUCCUUGGUACUCCUAAUGCUUUGUUGCUAUCCCAGAUAGUAUAAAAAGGGUACUUGGUUGAACUAGAAUAUUGCAGAUCACGUUGAUAUCAAGCAUGGUAGAUCUGAAAUAUAUUGUCUAAAUGUGUUCUUAUCCGUUAAAGCUUUCGGGAUCAUGAUUUAUUCUUCUCACUUAAUCUGGACAGUAAACUCUCAUUUUAUGAAAAUACAUUCUAGCACCUGUCUCGUCGAGGUAUUAUUAUGUUAGGACCUAAAAGAAAUUUAUCAGUUAAAUUUAGGUCUGAUCUGACCGUGUUUAAAGAAUUAGAGAAGACUUAUCCAUGUUUGUUUUUCCGUGUAUGAACCUUUUUACCUCAAUUUAUUAAUUUAUAUAAUCAGACAUUUAUAAUUAGAUUUCAUGAACUAAAAUUAUAUUAUGUCUUGAGCAUUUUAUGGUUCAUCUAGCUUAAAUUAGGAUUCUCUUUGAAAUUUUGAAUAAUCUGGAAAGUUGCUUAGUUGGGCUUGAACUAUAAGUUUGUUUAACAUGUUCAUUGUUUCUUUUCGAAUCAGAUUAUGUAGUCAUAUGGUCAUAGUGUAGUUAUCCCAAAAGUUUCCCUAGUUUCUCUACACAUUACAUUUGAUAAUCUAAUCAGAUAGAUAGUUAUUUAUAUGUACUUCAGCUACAGAUAUUUAUGUCUUUAGUUUUGCAUGAGCACUGACCCUCAACUUGAGCGUAUAAGAUUGUACGUAGAUUUUCUAAACAACGCAAGGCUGGAGCAACUGCUUGAAAUAUUUCAAAACGAAUAUGAACUAGAAGAAGAAGAUCCACUUCUAGGAGAAGUCUGGGCCUCAUGAAUGGUACUCUGUCCAAUAUAGCAAAUUUUUAUCUCCAAUGCAAUGUGUUUUUUGUUGCUAUUUAAUGCACUUGUAAAACUAUUUUGGUUUGUUGAAAGAACACAAUGUUCAAUUCAUGGCUUUCAGCUCUGACAAAUGCUGAUAGUAUAUUUUUGUUAGGGGACUCAGGUCCUCCUUUUGUAUAUGGGAGUUACACCAUGUGUAUGUGAAUGAUAUUUUUGUGAGGGGCAGUGCUUGUCGUGAGAAUUUUUUGUGGUAGUUGCUACCUUUUUUGUCAA